AUACAUGCAAGUCGAACGAGAACGACCGGUGCUUGCACUGGUCAAUCUAGUGGCGAACGGGUGAGUAACACGUGGGUAACCUGCCCAUCAGAGGGGGAUAACAUUCGGAAACGGAUGCUAAAACCGCAUAGGCCCUUUAACCGCAUGGUUGAAGGAGGAAAAGAGGCGCAAGCUUCUGCUGAUGGAUGGACCCGCGGUGCAUUAGCUAGUUGGUGAGGUAACGGCUCACCAAGGCCGUGAUGCAUAGCCGACCUGAGAGGGUGAUCGGCCACAUUGGGACUGAGACACGGCCCAAACUCCUACGGGAGGCAGCAGUAGGGAAUCUUCCGCAAUGGACGCAAGUCUGACGGAGCAACGCCGCGUGAGUGAAGAAGGUUUUCGGAUCGUAAAACUCUGUUGUUAGAGAAGAACAAGUGCUAGAGUAACUGUUAGCGCCUUGACGGUAUCUAACCAGAAAGCCACGGCUAACUACGUGCCAGCAGCCGCGGUAAUACGUAGGUGGCAAGCGUUGUCCGGAUUUAUUGGGCGUAAAGCGAGCGCAGGCGGUUCCUUAAGUCUGAUGUGAAAGCCCCCGGCUCAACCGGGGAGGGUCAUUGGAAACUGGGGAACUUGAGUGCAGAAGAGGAGAGUGGAAUUCCAUGUGUAGCGGUGAAAUGCGUAGAUAUAUGGAGGAACACCAGUGGCGAAGGCGACUCUCUGGUCUGUAACUGACGCUGAGGCUCGAAAGCGUGGGUAGCAAACAGGAUUAGAUACCCUGGUAGUCCACGCCGUAAACGAUGAGUGCUAAGUGUUGGAGGGUUUCCGCCCUUCAGUGCUGCAGUUAACGCAUUAAGCACUCCG
rnacentral:rRNA from 1 species